rnacentral:rRNA from 1 species
GAGUUUGAUCGUGGCUCAGAUUGAACGCUGGCGGCAUGCCUUACACAUGCAAGUCGAACGGCAGCAUGAUCUAGCUUGCUAGAUUGAUGGCGAGUGGCGAACGGGUGAGUAAUACAUCGGAACGUGCCCUGUAGUGGGGAUAACUAGUCGAAAGAUUAGCUAAUACCGCAUACGACCUGAGGGUGAAAGUGGGGGACCGCAAGGCCUUAUGCUAUAGGAGCGGCCGAUGUCUGAUUAGCUAGUUGGUGGGUAAAGGCCCACCAAGGCGACGAUCAGUAGCUGGUCUGAGAGGACGAUCAGCCACACUGGGACUGAGACACGGCCCAGACUCCUACGGGAGGCAGCAGUGGGGAAUUUUGGACAAUGGGCGAAAGCCUGAUCCAGCAAUGCCGCGUGUGUGAAGAAGGCCUUCGGUUGU